rnacentral:rRNA from 1 species
CAGAGGUCCCGAGCGUUGUUCGGAUUCACUGGGCGUAAAGGGUGCGUAGGUGGCAUGGUAAGUUUGAUGUGAAAGCUCAGGGCUCAACCCUGAAAUGGCAUUGAAUACUACUGUGCUGGAGGUUUGGAGGGGGGACUGGAAUUCUUGGUGUAGCAGUGAAAUGCGUAGAUAUCAAGAGGAACACCAGUGGCGAAGGCGAGUCCCUGGACAACACCUGACACUGAGGCACGAAAGCUAGGGGAGCAAACAGGAUUAGAUACCCUGGUAGUCCUAGCCCUAAACGGUGCGCAUUUGCUGUAGGAGGAAUCGACCCCUUCUGUGGCGAAGCUAACGCGAUAAAUGCGCCGCCUGGGGAGUACGGUCGCAAGAUUA